rnacentral:lncRNA from 1 species
GAGAUUACAGUAUCUUGCUUUAAGGCUAAUUUGGCUAAUGAGUGGGCUGCACUGUUGCCACUUCUCAGAAUAUGCUGAAAUUUGCUCUGCUGCAUUCUUGAUAAAAUGGCUUGAAUCUCGGAGAUUAACCAAAAGAUCUCUUUCCGAGCGCCCUUUCUAUUUAAAACCAAAUCCACUACUUCCUGGGAAUCUGUUUCAACAAUCAAGGGCAAACAACCAGCUUGCUCUGCAAUUUCUAAACCAAACUUUGUGGCUUCAGCUUCUGCGAAAGCAAUGCUUCCAUGGAACUCUGC